rnacentral:rRNA from 1 species
CCUACGGGGUGCAGCAGUGGGGAAUAUUGGGCAAUGGGCGCAAGCCUGACCCAGCAACGCCGCGUGAAGGAAGAAGGAUUUCGGGUUGUAAACUUCUUUUCUGAGGGACGAAGAAAGUGCCGGUACCUCAGGUAUAAGUCACGGCUAACUACGUGCCAGCAGUCGCGGUAAUACGUAGGUGGCAAGCGUUAUUCGGAUUUAUUGGGUGUAAAGGGCGUGUAGGCGGGAAAGCAAGUCAGAGGUGAAAACUCAGGGCUCAACCCUAAGCCUGGAUUUGAAACGGGUUUACGUGAGUGCUGGGGAGGCAAUCGGAAUGCGGGGUGUAGCGGGGAAAUGCGUAGAUAUACGGAGGAACACCAGUGGCGAAGGCGGAUUACUGGACCAUAACUGACGCUGAGGCGCGAAAGCGUGGGGAGCAAACAGGAUUAGAUACCCGUGUAGUC